CCUACGGGUGGCAGCAGUGGGGAAUAUUGGACAAUGGGGGGAACCCUGAUCCAGCCAUGCCGCGUGUGUGAAGAAGGCCCUCGGGUUGUAAAGCACUUUCAGUGAGGAAGAACGCCUGGUGGUUAAUACCCAUCAGGAAAGACAUCACUCACAGAAGAAGCACCGGCUAACUCCGUGCCAGCAGCCGCGGUAAUACGGAGGGUGCGAGCGUUAAUCGGAAUUACUGGGCGUAAAGCGCGCGUAGGUGGCUUGAUAAGCCGGUUGUGAAAGCCCCGGGCUCAACCUGGGAACGGCAUCCGGAACUGUCAAGCUAGAGUGCAGGAGAGGAAGGUAGAAUUCGCGGUGUAGCGGUGAAAUGCGUAGAGAUCGGGAGGAAUACCAGUGGCGAAGGCGGCCUUCUGGACUGACACUGACACUGAGGUGCGAAAGCGUGGGUAGCAAACAGGAUUAGAUACCCCAGUAGUC
rnacentral:rRNA from 1 species